CCGCUGAACUUAAGCAUAUCAAUAAGCGGAGGAAAAGAAACUAACAAGGAUUCCCCUAGUAACGGCGAGUGAAGCGGGAAGAGCUCAAGCUUAAAAUCUCCGUGCAAGUUUUGCGCGGCGAAUUGUAGUCUAUAGAGGCGUGGUCAGCGUGGGCGCUUGGGGCAAGUUCCUUGGAAGAGGACAGCAUGGAGGGUGAUACUCCCGUUCAUCCCUGAGUGGCUCGUGCGUACGACCCGUGUUCUUUGAGUCGCGUUGUUUGGGAAUGCAGCGCAAAGUAGGUGGUAAAUUCCAUCUAAAGCUAAAUAUUGGUGCGAGACCGAUAGCGAACAAGUACCGUGAGGGAAAGAUGAAAAGAACUUUGAAAAGAGAGUUAAAGAGUACCUGAAACUGCUGAAAGGGAACCGAAUCGUUUCCAGUGUCUAUAAUCCGUGGCAUAUUUCAUUGGCGAGUGUGCGCGUGCGUGUGCUGUGGCAGUGGCUUUUUUGGCUGCGCUCGGUGUGUGUGCUGUGUGUGCUUGCUGGUGCCCUGUGCUGCGGUGGGACGUCAAGGUCAGUUCGUAUGCUGCGGGAAAUGGCUGCCGAGGAGGUAGGGCUUACGCUCCGCGUUUGUCUGUUAUAUCUUGGUGGACGAGUCGUCGCGGUUGGGACUGAGGUGCCUACAACGUGCUUUUGAGUGGGUUUGUGUCUCCGUGUGCGCCGUGUGCGGAUAGCUUGCUAUGCGUGUGUGGUUGUGUGUGGAUUGAUGCGGGCUUUAACUUGUCGCCGUUCGGGACGUUGACGAAAUGGAGCGAUCCGACCCGUCUUGAAACACGGACCAAGGAGUCUAACAUGUGUGCAAGUGUUAGGGUGUGGAAACCCCAGCGCGAAAUGAAAGUGAAGGGCAGCGCAAGUUGUCUGAGGUAGGAAACGUUGCGGGCUUCGGUCUGCGGCGUGGCACUAUCGACCGAUCAUGAACCUUCGUGGUGAAAGAUUUGAGUUUGAGCACAUAUGUUGGUACCCGAAAGAUGGUGAACUAUGCCUGAGUAGGGUGAAGCCAGGGGAAACUCUGGUGGAAGCUCGUAGCGAUUCUGACGUGCAAAUCGAUCGUCAAACUUGGGUAUAGGGGCGAAAGACUAAUCGAACCAUCUAGUAGCUGGUUCCCUCCGAAAUUUCCCUCAGGAUAGCAGCAACUUAUUUACGAUAGUUUUAUGAGGUAAAGCGAAUGAUUAGAGGAUUCGGGGAAGAAACUUCCUCGACCUAUUCUCAAACUUUAAAUCUGUAAGACCUGCAGGUUUCUUAAUUGAACUUGUGGAUGUGAAUAUCAAGUUGCUAGUGGGCCAUACGGGGUAAGCUCGUCUGGCG
rnacentral:rRNA from 2 species